rnacentral:rRNA from 1 species
CCUGCCUCAAAGAGGGGGACAACAGUGGGAAACGACUGCUAAUACCGCAUAAGCCCACGGGCUCGGCAUCGAGCAGAGGGAAAAGGAGCAAUCCGCUUUGAGAUGGCCUCGCGUCCGAUUAGCUAGUUGGUGAGGUAACGGCCCACCAAGGCGACGAUCGGUAGCCGGACUGAGAGGUUGAACGGCCACAUUGGGACUGAGACACGGCCCAGACUCCUACGGGAGGCAGCAGUGGGGAAUAUUGCACAAUGGGGGAAACCCUGAUGCAGCGACGCCGCGUGGAGGAAGAAGGUCUUCGGAUUGUAAACUCCUGUUGUUGGGGAAGAUAAUGACGGUACCCAACAAGGAAGUGACGGCUAACUACGUGCCAGCAGCCGCGGUAAAACGUAGGUCACAAGCGUUGUCCGGAAUUACUGGGUGUAAAGGGAGCGCAGGCGGGAAGACAAGUUGGAAGUGAAAUCUAUGGGCUCAACCCAUAAACUGCUUUCAAAACUGUUUUUCUUGAGUAGUGCAGAGGUAGGCGGAAUUCCCGGUGUAGCGGUGGAAUGCGUAGAUAUCGGGAGGAACACCAGUGGCGAAGGCGGCCUACUGGGCACCAACUGACGCUGAGGCUCGAAAGUGGGGGUAGCAAACAGGAUUAGAUACCCUGGUAGUCCACACCGUAAACGAUGAUUACUAGGUGUUGGAGGAUUGACCCCUUCAGUGCCGCAGUUAACACAAUAAGUAAUCCACCUGGGGAGUACGACCGCAAGGUUGAAACUCAAAGGAAUUGACGGGGGCCCGCACAAGCAGUGGAGUAUGUGGUUUAAUUCGACGCAACGCGAAGAACCUUACCAAGUCUUGACAUCCCUUGACAGACAUAGAAAUAUGUAAUCUCUUCGGAGCAAGGAGACAGGUGGCGCAUGGUUGUCGUCAGCUCGUGUCGUGAGAUGUUGGGUUAAGUCCCGCAACGAGCGCAACCCUUAUGGUCAGUUACUACGCAAGAGGACUCUGGCCAGACUGCCGUUGACAAAACGGAGGAAGGUGGGGAUGACGUCAAAUCAUCAUGCCCUUUAUGACUUGGGCUACACACGUACUACAAUGGCGUUAAACAAAGAGAAGCAAGACCGCGAGGUGGAGCAAAACUCAGAAACAACGUCCCAGUUCGGACUGCAGGCUGCAACUCGCCUGCACGAAGUCGGAAUUGCUAGUAAUCGUGGAUCAGCAUGCCACGGCGAAAACGUUCCCGGGCCUUGCACACACCGCCCGUC